rnacentral:rRNA from 1 species
UACGUAGGGUGCAAGCGUUGUCCGGAAUUAUUGGGCGUAAAGAGCUCGUAGGCGGUUUGUUGCGUCGGCUGUGAAAUCCCGAGGCUCAACCUCGGGUCUGCAGUCGAUACGAGCAAACUAGAGUGUUGCAGGGGAGACUGGAAUUCCUGGUGUAGCGGUGAAAUGCGCAGAUAUCGGGAAGAACACCGGCGGCGAAAGCGGAUCCCUGGGCCUUGACUGACGCUAAGACUCGAAAGCUAGGGGAGCAAACAGG